GCAAACUUGGUCAUUUAGAGGAAGUAAAAGUCGUAACAAGGUCUCCGUUGGUGAACCAGCGGAGGGAUCAUUAGCGAGUUAAUUAUAAACUCCAAACCCAUGUGAACUUACCUAUUGUUGCCUCGGUAGGCUGUGCUGUACGGUAUGGAAAGCUACCCUGGAGCUGACCUACCCUAAAUAGGAGUUGCCCUAGAGUGGAGUCUAACUUGCACCCUAGAGAGAAGCCACCUUAGGGAAUGGAAAGCCAUUUAUGGAUGAGCACCUAUGCCCUACAGUACGCUAUAAAGCCUGCCGAAGGACCCUUAAACUCUGUUUUAUAAUGUAUCUCUGAGUGAAUUAUAUAAAUAAGUUAAAACUUUCAACAACGGAUCUCUUGGUUCUGGCAUCGAUGAAGAACGCAGC
rnacentral:misc_RNA from 1 species